rnacentral:tRNA from 1 species
AUGGAUGUAGCUCAGUGGCAAAGCAUUUGUCUCACAUGCAAGAGGCUCUGGGUUCCAGCCCCAGGACUAUG